ensembl:lncRNA
GCUUCUUUUUCACAUUAUUGUUGAAGAGCAGACGUUCUAGAAAAGACCCCUCCUCUCAUGAGCUCCCCCAUCCCUGCUACAGAAAACAGCGCCCAUAGCGCCUGCAGUGGGCUGACCCACCAAUUCCCACCGCGCCCCCUCCGCCCCGCCUGCAGUGGGCUGACCCACCAAUUCCCACCGCCCCCCUCCGCCCGCCAGGGCAAGGAGGAGGCCCUGGGCAUUGUCCUCCCACAAGGAAGAUCCUCUUUGUUCAAAGAACCAGUUUUCCUUGGCGGAAGAAGUCUCUUCCCCAUGUUAGUCCUAUGCCUUGAAAUAUCAUGCACCAUGACCCACAGCCAUCUGGUUAUGUCUUUUUUUUUUCCUAAAAGAUAAUGUUUAUUUUUAAAAAGGAAGGAAGGAGCAAGUGAAGUUUCAUCCUGCUCCAGCAGUGGGGAAGCCGCUGAAUCCACCUGCUUCUCCUUUGCAACCAACAGCAAACAGCUUCCUCUGGCCUCAGGGCAGAAAAAGGGAAUGGCAGGGAGUAAGAGGCGCUGGGCUUGGGGCCUGUUACCAAGAAGGAAUGGGUUGUCAUCUGGCAAUGUUGCGUGUCACAAGAGAGCCUGUAUAUAAAUUAAAAUAGUCAAGACAACACUGACCUUGCACUUGUACAUAACUAUACAGUAGUGUCCAGAAUGCUCAGACAUUCGGCGUGUACAUAAAACAGAAAAAAUCUUCAUGUAUUUUUAUUAAAUAUAACAAUGUCUGAGUUUCAUCUAAGAUGUUUUUGUGCCAUAUGCUGGGUAUCCAGGUUCCGAGAGUUCCUCUUGCCAGGCCCCAAUACAUGAAUAACCCAAGAAACACAUCCCCAUUGUGUGAUGUGUUCAGAUGCAUCUGGCACCAAUUAGGUAUUUCUUAAAACGGGACCCAUCUGUCAGAGUCAUAUGAAAAAUCAGGCAGGGAAUCAAAACGGCAGCGCUUGAGGAGACUCGGGAGGCAGAGGCAUCUCUGCUGCUGCCCUUGGCCCUGCAAGCACAUCAUGACCCUUUCUGGCAGCCUCUUGGUACUCUGGGUAGUGAGGGAUGAGCAGUCUUGUCCUGAGAAAUGUUUCUGUUAGUCUUAAGUUCAAAGACUACAACCUGUGGCAAUCAGACUUUCCAAAGGAGGGUUCUCCAUUUUUUGUAGUUUUGUCUAAAUUUUUAAUGACCAUUUCCUCGAAUCAGUUUAUUAUACUGAAAACUGGGAGUGAGAGAAGGGAGCUAGUUUGUUGAUAAAUAGUUCCCAUGUCCCCGUGGAGAAUUCGACAUACCCUGAACUCCUGUGUGCCUCCUGCCGUCCCUGCACAUAGCCUGGGGAUAAGCCUGCGCCUCCCUGUGUGGAGAGAAGGCAAUCCCAGAUCCCCUGAGCUAACCCGGAGAAAAGGCAGUUCUAGACAGAAGACUGUCAGCAGAAGGAAAGUACUGGACUACCCGUGGGUAAGGCCUGCCAUUCAAGACUGGAGACACCUGGGAAAUAAAAAGAGCAGGGCACUGCCGGUGGGAAGAGGCAUUUUACCUUCCAGUGCAAAUCCUGCUCCUUUGAUUUAAUGGGGUGUAUUGGGGCCAGGGGCUGAUUCACUUCCUUGGGAGAUGGUGGUGGUUUCAUGAACAUCUUUGAUCCUUCCAUUUCAUUUAUUCACCCAUGCAUUCAACAAGUAUUUGCUAAACACUAACCUAAGCUAAUGCUAGGGUAGUGACUUAGAUGUAAAAAUAGAUUUUAGAAUUAAAAUCCAAGGCCUCACACCCCUGUCAACCCAGGAGAUCUUUCCUUGUGGUGGUUUCUGUGAGAAUUGGCUAUCCCGAGGACAGAGCCAGGAUGGCAGAGGCCUCCUGUCCUCAGGGCAUGCCCUGCCUACCUUCUGAAAUGUUUACCCCAUUGACCAAACUUGGCUUCAGCCACUGCGGUGGUUUCUAGAUAGCCGGGCCCACCAAGAGACAUUGCCCCUUGAUGAGAGUCAAACACCCUGCCUACAAGGAGAUGUUUUGAAGUGGAGAGGAAAAUUGGCGCCUUCUCUUUUAAAGGCAAUAAUGGAAUUGACUUUCAGUAACUGAAUUUGUGCACAAAACAUUCUAAACACUAGUGAAGCCUGUUUCGUUGAACUAAUUCUGGCUCUGGAAAUGUUUUUGUUUUAUAGUUAUUUACGGUUUCGUUUGUUUGGAUUCAAGCUUAGUUUGUUAAUAUGUAUAAUUUAGCAUCUAUUACACUCAUGUAAAUAUGGAGUAAGUAUUGUAAACUAUUUCAUUGCUGGGGGUUGUGGGUGUUAUACAUACAUUUAGGACUGCAAUUUUUUGGUAUUUUUUGUAUUGUAAAAUAACAGCUAAUUUAAGCAGGAACAAGAGAACUAAGGGAGGUCUGUGCAUUUUAAACACAAAUGUGAAGAACUUGUAUAUAAACAAAAGUAAAUACUAUAAUACAAACUUCCUUCUGAAAUAAAAGUAGAUCUGGUA